GGGUUGUGAGGUUAAGCGACUAAGCGUACACGGUGGAUGCCCUGGCAGUCAGAGGCGAUGAAGGACGUGCUAAUCUGCGAUAAGCGUCGGUAAGGUGAUAUGAACCGUUAUAACCGGCGAUUUCCGAAUGGGGAAACCCAGUGUGUUUCGACACACUAUCAUUAACUGAAUCCAUAGGUUAAUGAGGCGAACCGGGGGAACUGAAACAUCUAAGUACCCCGAGGAAAAGAAAUCAACCGAGAUUCCCCCAGUAGCGGCGAGCGAACGGGGAGCAGCCCAGAGCCUGAAUCAGUGUGUGUGUUAGUGGAAGCGUCUGGAAAGGCGCGCGAUACAGGGUGACAGCCCCGUACACAAAAAUGCACAUGCUGUGAGCUCGAUGAGUAGGGCGGGACACGUGGUAUCCUGUCUGAAUAUGGGGGGACCAUCCUCCAAGGCUAAAUACUCCUGACUGACCGAUAGUGAACCAGUACCGUGAGGGAAAGGCGAAAAGAACCCCGGCGAGGGGAGUGAAAAAGAACCUGAAACCGUGUACGUACAAGCAGUGGGAGCACGCUUCGGCGUGUGACUGCGUACCUUUUGUAUAAUGGGUCAGCGACUUAUAUUCUGUAGCAAGGUUAACCGAAUAGGGGAGCCGAAGGGAAACCGAGUCUUAACUGGGCGUUAAGUUGCAGGGUAUAGACCCGAAACCCGGUGAUCUAGCCAUGGGCAGGUUGAAGGUUGGGUAACACUAACUGGAGGACCGAACCGACUAAUGUUGAAAAAUUAGCGGAUGACUUGUGGCUGGGGGUGAAAGGCCAAUCAAACCGGGAGAUAGCUGGUUCUCCCCGAAAGCUAUUUAGGUAGCGCCUCGUGAAUUCAUCUCCGGGGGUAGAGCACUGUUUCGGCAAGGGGGUCAUCCCGACUUACCAACCCGAUGCAAACUGCGAAUACCGGAGAAUGUUAUCACGGGAGACACACGGCGGGUGCUAACGUCCGUCGUGAAGAGGGAAACAACCCAGACCGCCAGCUAAGGUCCCAAAGUCAUGGUUAAGUGGGAAACGAUGUGGGAAGGCCCAGACAGCCAGGAUGUUGGCUUAGAAGCAGCCAUCAUUUAAAGAAAGCGUAAUAGCUCACUGGUCGAGUCGGCCUGCGCGGAAGAUGUAACGGGGCUAAACCAUGCACCGAAGCUGCGGCAGCGACGCUUAUGCGUUGUUGGGUAGGGGAGCGUUCUGUAAGCCUGUGAAGGUGUGCUGUGAGGCAUGCUGGAGGUAUCAGAAGUGCGAAUGCUGACAUAAGUAACGAUAAAGCGGGUGAAAAGCCCGCUCGCCGGAAGACCAAGGGUUCCUGUCCAACGUUAAUCGGGGCAGGGUGAGUCGACCCCUAAGGCGAGGCCGAAAGGCGUAGUCGAUGGGAAACAGGUUAAUAUUCCUGUACUUGGUGUUACUGCGAAGGGGGGACGGAGAAGGCUAUGUUGGCCGGGCGACGGUUGUCCCGGUUUAAGCGUGUAGGCUGGUUUUCCAGGCAAAUCCGGAAAAUCAAGGCUGAGGCGUGAUGACGAGGCACUACGGUGCUGAAGCAACAAAUGCCCUGCUUCCAGGAAAAGCCUCUAAGCAUCAGGUAACAUCAAAUCGUACCCCAAACCGACACAGGUGGUCAGGUAGAGAAUACCAAGGCGCUUGAGAGAACUCGGGUGAAGGAACUAGGCAAAAUGGUGCCGUAACUUCGGGAGAAGGCACGCUGAUAUGUAGGUGAGGUCCCUCGCGGAUGGAGCUGAAAUCAGUCGAAGAUACCAGCUGGCUGCAACUGUUUAUUAAAAACACAGCACUGUGCAAACACGAAAGUGGACGUAUACGGUGUGACGCCUGCCCGGUGCCGGAAGGUUAAUUGAUGGGGUUAGCGCAAGCGAAGCUCUUGAUCGAAGCCCCGGUAAACGGCGGCCGUAACUAUAACGGUCCUAAGGUAGCGAAAUUCCUUGUCGGGUAAGUUCCGACCUGCACGAAUGGCGUAAUGAUGGCCAGGCUGUCUCCACCCGAGACUCAGUGAAAUUGAACUCGCUGUGAAGAUGCAGUGUACCCGCGGCAAGACGGAAAGACCCCGUGAACCUUUACUAUAGCUUGACACUGAACAUUGAGCCUUGAUGUGUAGGAUAGGUGGGAGGCUUUGAAGUGUGGACGCCAGUCUGCAUGGAGCCGACCUUGAAAUACCACCCUUUAAUGUUUGAUGUUCUAACGUUGACCCCUAAUCGGGGUUGCGGACAGUGUCUGGUGGGUAGUUUGACUGGGGCGGUCUCCUCCUAAAGAGUAACGGAGGAGCACGAAGGUUGGCUAAUCCUGGUCGGACAUCAGGAGGUUAGUGCAAUGGCAUAAGCCAGCUUGACUGCGAGCGUGACGGCGCGAGCAGGUGCGAAAGCAGGUCAUAGUGAUCCGGUGGUUCUGAAUGGAAGGGCCAUCGCUCAACGGAUAAAAGGUACUCCGGGGAUAACAGGCUGAUACCGCCCAAGAGUUCAUAUCGACGGCGGUGUUUGGCACCUCGAUGUCGGCUCAUCACAUCCUGGGGCUGAAGUAGGUCCCAAGGGUAUGGCUGUUCGCCAUUUAAAGUGGUACGCGAGCUGGGUUUAGAACGUCGUGAGACAGUUCGGUCCCUAUCUGCCGUGGGCGCUGGAGAACUGAGGGGGGCUGCUCCUAGUACGAGAGGACCGGAGUGGACGCAUCACUGGUGUUCGGGUUGUCAUGCCAAUGGCACUGCCCGGUAGCUAAAUGUGGAAGAGAUAAGUGCUGAAAGCAUCUAAGCACGAAACUUGCCCCGAGAUGAGUUCUCCCUGACCCUUUAAGGGUCCUGAAGGAACGUUGAAGACGACGACGUUGAUAGGCCGGGUGUGUAAGCGCAGCGAUGCGUUGAGCUAACCGGUACUAAUGAACCGUGAGGCUUAACCUUACAACGCCGAAGCUGUU
rnacentral:rRNA from 1 species